CUCUGGACCAGACGCCGCCUGCACGGGUGGGGACGCUGGUCGCUGCCGGGGGCAAGUCUGCCGACUCCAGAAAGAAAGGCGAAAGAAUGUGUGUAGACCCGGGCAUCCUUGGUCGUCAGCAUGUUUGCUUUAUUUAAUUACAGAUGUUCAGGCUGCUGUCAACACCCGACAAUUUUUUUUGGUCAUUUCAUUCCCUAGAGAUUGUGAAGCUAAGUGCUGUGAGGGAAACCAGAGGCAGCUGAGAUGUCGUGGAAGUAACAGCGAAUGAAGCCAGGAUGCUGGAUUCUGACCUUGGAACUGUUCUGAGUAAAUCACUUUUCUCAGUAAAUCUUCUGGAGUUGUUUCCUUAUCUGUAAAAUGGGAUAACGAUGUUUCCCUUACAAUUUAAUGGAGGAGUUAAUAUAACUAAUAGAAUGUCUGAGAAAAGCCUUUGUGAACUGUAACGCAUCCUGCAAAUGCUUAAUAUUCCCUUAUAAAAACGAGAGGCUUGGUUAACAUGAUCUCCAGAAUUUUAGCUUAGCUCUACAUUCAGUGUUUCUGUGAAUGAGUUCAGGUCCUUACUUCCAAGGAAUUUGUAAUCUACAGUGGUUGGAGGAAUAUAACAUACAGACUAGUCACUAAAAUUCAAAGCAGUGUAAUAACUGUAUAAAUGAAAAGCUAUAAAUGCUUAGAGACAGGAGAAAUUUGAUGGGGGAGGAUCUGUGAGGAAGAUGAAUUUUUAACCUAGGAUUUAAAGAAUGUGUAGAUUCCCAACAGGCUAAAAGAUGGAGAGAGGAUGGAUAAAAGUAAAUGAAACAAUUACAUGUUUUUUCAUUGUCAAGUUGGCAGAGAUGAAAAAGUUCAACAGCCUUUGGUUGGUCAAGAUUUGGAAAAACAGGCUGGGUGCAAUGGCUUAUGCCUGUAAUCCUAGCGCUUUGGGAGGCCGAGGCAGGAGGAUUGCUUGAGGCCAGGAGUUCAAGACCAACCUGGGUCUUGCUAUCAAGACCCCAUCUCUGUUUUUAAAAAUAUAAAGAGAUUUGGAAAAAUGGACACUCAAAGUCAAUAUUGGUAAGAGUAUAAUUGGUACAAACCUUUAGGAGGACAAUUUGACAGUUACUAAAAUGUACAUAAUCUAGUUCUGGCCCAGUAAUCCACUAUGAGGAAUUUAUCGUACAGAUCUGUGCAAGUAUGCAAAGAAAAAUGUACAAGGAUGUUUACUGCAAUACUGCUUUUUUUUUUUUUUUUUUUGAGACAGUCUCGCUCUGUCGCCCAGGCUGGAGUGCAGUGGCGCAAUCUCAGCUCACUGCAACCUCCGCCUCCCGUGUUCAAGCGAUUCUCCUGCCUCAGCCUCCUGAGUAGCUGGGACUACAGGCACGUGCCAUCACACCUGGCUAAUUUUUUGUAGUUUUAGUAGAGACGGAGUUGCACUGUGUUAGCCAGGCUGGUCUUGAUCUGCUGACCUCGUGAUCCUCCCGCCUGGGCCUCCCAAAGUGCUGGGAUUACAGGCGUGAGCCACUGCACCCGGCUUUUUUUUUUUUUUUUUCUGACAGAGUCUCUCUCAUGUCACCCGGGCUGUAGUGCAAUGGCGUGAUCUUGGCUCACUGCAACCUCCAUCUCCCGGGUUCAAGCAAUUCUCCUGCCUCAGGCUCCCAAGUAGCUGGGAUUACAGGCACCUGCCACCACGCCCGGCUAAUUAUUUUUUAUUGUAUUUUUAACAGAGAUGGGGUUUCACCAUGUUGGUCAAGCUGGUUUCAAACUCCUGACUUCAGGUCAUCCACCUGCCUCAGCCUCCC
rnacentral:lncRNA from 10 species